UAGGGAAUCUUCCACAAUGGGCGCAAGCCUGAUGGAGCAACACCGCGUGAGUGAAGAAGGGUUUCGGCUCGUAAAGCUCUGUUGUUAAAGAAGAACACGUAUGAGAGUAACUGUUCAUACGUUGACGGUAUUUAACCAGAAAGUCACGGCUAACUACGUGCCACCAG
rnacentral:rRNA from 1 species